CAAACUGGGAUUAGAUACCCCACUAUGCCAAGUCGUAAAAAAUUUAUUUACACACCCAACGCCCGGGAAUUACGAGCCUAGCUUAAAACCCAAAGGACUUGACGGUGUCCCACCCAACUAGAGGAGCCUGUUCUAUAAUCGAUGAUCCCCGGUACACCCAACCAUUUUUUGCUUUUCAGCCUGUAUACCUCCGUCGUAAGCUUACCAUGUGAACGCACAAUAGUAGGCCCGAGGGCUAAACGCCACAACGUCAGGUCAAGGUGCAGCUUAUAGAAUGGAAAGCAUGGGCUACAAUUUCUAGCUUAGAACAAACGAAACACUACAUGAAACAUAGUCAUGAAGGCGGAUUUAGAAGUAAGUACGGAAUAGAGCGCCCUACUAAACUCGGCCCUGGGACGUGUACACACCGCCCGUCACCCUC
rnacentral:rRNA from 1 species